CCUACGGGAGGCAGCAGUGGGGCAUAUUGCACAAUGGGCGAAAGCCUGAUGCAGCAACGCCGCGUGAAGGAAGAAGGCCUUCGGGUCGUAAACUUCUGUCCUCGGGGAAGAAGAACUGACGGUAUACAAGGCGGUAGCCUCGGCAAACUACGGGCCAGCAGCCGGGGUAACUCGUAGGGGGCAAGCGUUAUCCGGAAUUAUUGGCCGAAAAGAGUACGUAGGUGGCAACCUAGGCCCAGGGUUUAAGGCAAUGGCUCAACCAUUGUUCGCCCUGCGAACUGGGAUGCUUGAGUGCAGGAGAGGAAAGCGGAAUUCCUAGUGUAGCGGUGAAAUGCGUAGAUAUUAGGAGGAACACCAGUGGCGAAGGCGGCUUUCUGGACUGUAACUGACACUGAGGUACGAAAGCGUGGGGAGCAAACAGGAUUAGAUACCCCUGUAGUC
rnacentral:rRNA from 1 species